rnacentral:pre_miRNA from 1 species
GUGUGUGGAUAGUGUUCAGCACCAAGGACAUUCAUAUUUACCUGUGUGUGGAUAGUGUUCAGCACCAAGGACAUUCAUAUUUACCU